CCUCCGCCCCGAUGAGACAGACGGGGUGAAGCCGGACCCCGAGUGCACGACCGCCCUUCCGGCACGCGCAUCCGCUUGCGCCAAUGCAUCCGCGAGGCUCUGCUCCGUGUGCAAGGCUGCCGCCUUCUGGAGGUGUAAAUGCUGUAAGGCCCGUCCUCUACUGCUCUCAGAAAUAUGUCAGAUUCUUCACUGGAGAUCAGGUCACAGGAAGGUGUGCCGUGCUAAGAAAUUUGAUCAUCCUGCCCAUGAUUCUGAAAGACCCGUGUCGUGAUUGCUGUAAUGCCUCCAGGGUGACCACUUGAGAUGUGCAUAGAGAAGUUGUGUCUUACGUUUGGAUAAAGAUACAGCAUUGCGAAUAGAAACAUUCCUUCAUGUUUAUU